rnacentral:rRNA from 1 species
UACAGAGGGGGCAAGCGUUAUUCGGAAUUAUUGGGCGUAAAGGGCGCGUAGGCGGCCUGGCAAGUGGAAGGUGAAAUCCCUCGGCUUAACCGAGGAACUGCCCUCCAAACUGCUUGGCUUGAGUCCGGGAGAGGUGAGUGGAAUUCCCAGUGUAGCGGUGAAAUGCGUAGAUAUUGGGAGGAACACCAGUGGCGAAGGCGGCUCACUGGACCGGAACUGACGCUGAACGGCGAAAGCUAGGGGAGCAAACGGG